CCGCUGGAUGAUGAAGAUCUGGUGGCAUACAUCAUCAAUGGGCUCGACUCCGACUACAAUCCUGUAGUUGAGGGUUUGAUGGCCACAUCCCGAAUUGCUCCGGUAUCUGUUUCCCAAGCCUACUCAUAGCUUUUAAGUUUUGAGA
rnacentral:snoRNA from 1 species